AUUCAUCUCUGCCGCUUCGUUGCUCUCCAGAGCUCCUCUCCUCUCCCCUUCCAUUUUUCGUUUCAUUUCUUUGUUCCUUUCUUCUUUUUUGUUGUUUUUUAUUUGGUCCUUUUUUCUCUGUUUUUCCUUCCCGUUUCCCCCCUCCCCCCUUUUCCCUUUCUUCUCUUUCCUUUUUUCAAUUAUAUGAUUCUAACUGAUUUUUUUCCCUUGUUAGAAUUGGUCUGGAUAUGAAGCUACUAAACGCAUGAGACACAGAAAUCAUCUUAAUUGAUUGCGGACAAUGGAUUGAAAGUCCACGAGAAGGAGAAAAAGAAUCAAUUUUCCAGGUUGUGCGAUUUUCUUUAAUUUAUUUUUCAAUCUUUUUCCAAUUUUACUCUAGCCUUCAAAUUUUUGUUUCCGUUUUUUUUGUAAGAAAAGUUUUUGAUUUCAGAUCUCUUGCUUAGUACUUUAGUUUUGUUGCUGUUAACGAUCUCAUUUCUGCUGUCUAUUGGACAGAUAGGGAUCUCAUUUUUCUUUUAAUAAAUUGAGGGAAAAAUGGAAGAAAAGUCGACGGGAAGAAGAAAAAAAGAUUUAAGUUUUCAAGGUUCGAAUUUUUCUGUAGUUUAUUUUCCAAGCAUUUUUCUAAUUUUACGCUAAACUUGAUCUUCAAGUUACCAGUUCCUUCUUUUUUCGUUUUUUUUUUGGCUUUUCCAUUGAAGAUUAUAUGUUUUAAUUUCUUGUUUAGUUAUUUAGUUUUGCUGCUGCUAAUAGUCUUAUUUUCCAUUUAUGUCAUAUUUUGAUUUCUGUUUAGUAGAUUGAGGAAAAACGCAAGAAAUAUCCACAAGAAGAGAUAGAUUUAACUUUUUAGGUUGUGAUCUUUUUUUUCCCCAAUUAUCUUUGCAGCUCACCUGAAAUUCAGCUUUCAAGUUAUAUUCCAUUCAUUGGUUUCACAAAGUAGCUAUAGGUAUUAUUUCUUAGUUUUGCCUUUUAUCUUUACUAUUGCCUUCUUAACACGGAUGGUUAUGCAUCCAACUUAUACAUGCAACUGGGAGAUCCUGUUUGAAUUGUGCUUGGAAUAGAUGUCUUUGUCAUUACUUUUCCAUUGCAGUAGUUGUGACUUUGUAUUUAGAGUAUGCAUAGAGUGGUGUAGUUGCAUUUACAAGUGUGGUUAACACUUAUUGCUAAAAUGUCUUAUGGGUGUCUGAGUUUUGCAGCGGAACCAAAAGUUUUUAUGCUGUAAUUUGCUUCAGUACAAUAUUGAGUUUUUGGUUGAGCUUAACAUGUCUGGUGUAUCAAAUUCCAAAAAGUCCUUGCUCUCAAAUUACAUUUGUGCAGUGCAAGAAAUUCUGAUACACAAUGAGGAAAAAGUGAUUGCCAAAAGUGUGUAUAUUUGGCCAUACUCUUAAUUGUGAUUAUUUUAUUUGGCCAUCUCACCUUUUGUUCAAUUUGUUGUAUGGGUUCCAGAUUUUUAUUUUUUCUCCAUUUAUUUAUCUCAAACAUUCUGUGCAGAAGGCAUUCAAUGGAAAAUCAUAUUGUUUCUUAAUGUUUAUGUGCCAUCAUCCUGUACAAGAAGGAAAGAUUUUUAUGUAUGCAGGGAUUAUACUUGGUUCAGAGCCCAUGAUUGCAAUGUUUUUUUUUCUUUUUUCUUUUUGGUUUUUUUUGAGUAUCCAAAACUGAUAUGGUGUUUUUAAUAGGUAUUUUGUGUUAAGCUGAUUGCUGGUAGUGAUAGGAGGGAAUCUGCUUAUAUUAUUCUCACUAGCUUUAAGGCUACUUAAGUUUGUUCUAUGUUUAGCCUUUUUCUACUUAAUUAGGUAUGUUUAGUCUUUUAAUGUACUAUUGUUUACUUAAUGUUUCUUUUACCAUGAGAUCCUUGUAAUUUUGUAGUCUCUGAAUUUUUUAGUAAGAAAUUUUCAUUUAUUGCAGAUUAUUUAAUAUUUGAUUUGAAAUUCAUUUGUUAGCUUGCUUAUAUGCAGUUUCAAUGUAUUGAUGUAUUUACCUUUUGGUUCAUAGUUUGCUCUCUUAUUGUAAUUAUUGGUCCUACAGAAAAGAAUGAUUCAUUUAUAGUGGCUCAUGUGCAAUUUCUUACUAUCAAUGCAAAAAAAAAAAAAAACACCACUUAAUAACUGUCAGUGCGACAUUCAUUGAAGAUAAUGCAUACAUGGUGGUAAAGAGACUGAUUUUGUAUUCUUUGGGGGUUUUUCCCCCUGAUGAAUAAGAGAAAAUUUUCCCUUCCCUAGAUUCUUAAAUGUAUAUGCUGAUAGGCUUUAGAUUAUCACCUAAUUGUGUUCUUUUGUUUAUUUGAUAGAUUGUUUUCCUCAACAAUUGAAGGUGACGAAGCUAGAAUAGAAACUCCCAAGGGGUUGAUACAUGUACAUUUGCUUGUGAAAGUUAAAAAUAACAUAUUGAAUAGUUGUGCCUUUUAAUUUUCUUUGCCUUUCUACUCUUGAAUGAUGAGUUGGACUGGGGCAAUUUCUUUUCUGGCCUGUUCUUCUUUUUUUUUUCUUCCUGGCUCUCUUAGCUCGUCAAAGAGCCUAUUACUUUGGUUAUUAUCAUAACAUGGUUAGGUUACACAAUUUAUUUCGCCAAUUUAAUGGGUAGAUUUUACAAACUUACUUUUUUUCUUUGCAUUUUAAUCUUGAUAACACCUCAUUAAUGUUUCAAAAACUAGAAGAUCAAUUUUUUAGCAAAUGCUUUUACAUUUUGAGCAUUAUCAUUUAAUUACAUGGCUUUGUUCUAGAAGUGUUUGUGAGCAAGUUGGGUAAAGCAGAGUUGACGAUUGAACUAUGUGGUUCAUUGCCUACAAUAGCAGUCUAUUCUGCUCAUAGUAAUUGUAAGACAAAACAGCCAAGUUUGAUCUAAUAAUUGUUUGUUUAUACUUUUAUGGGUUUUUUUUAAUAGUAUUGACAAUAUCUUACUUGAGAUUUUACUUCAUAUGUGAAUUUGCGAAAUGAGAUUUUUAAAGCCCUUUUUUCUAUGAUUAGUCAUUAUUGGUGAAGUCAUUUUUUCAGUGUAUGUAAUAUAUGGUUCUUUGUAUCUCAACGUUAUAGUAUUCAAAUGUGAAAACAGUUUGAAAAAAUGGAAGGAAUAUCCACUGAAAGGAGAAAAAAUUUUUAACUUUUCAGGUUGUGGAUUUUUUUUUGAUUUAUUUCCCUGUCAUUUUUCCAAUUUUACACUAGAAUAUUGGACCUUCAAGUUUCUGCUUCCUUUUCAUUUCUGAAGUUUUUAAUUUCUUGCUUGCUUCUUUAGUUUUGCUGCUCCUCAUAAUCUUAGAUUGCUGCCUAUUUGAUAGAUUGAGGAACGUUACAAGGAAAUACUAAAGGGAGGAGAAAAAGAUUUAGCUUUCCAGGUUAUCGUUUUUUCUUUUUAUUUUGUGGUCAUCUUUCUAGAUUACCUUAACUUUGAAUUUCAAAUUUCUGAUUUUUGUGCUAUGUAGUGGUUUUCACGAAGUGUCUGGUGGGUGUUGAAAUUGUUAAUUUUAUGAAUUUUUUUUUAGCUAUUGCCUUCUCAACAUGAAUUGUUAUGCAUCUGAAUCAUAUAUGAAGCUGGGAGGUUUAGUUUGAAGUACUCUUUUACACACUUUUGGCAAAAGAGUGUAAAUCUGCCAAAAUUAACUAAUAUGCCAAAAGAGUGGUCAUUUGUUAAUCAAGUGCAUCUGUUAAAUCAGAAGUUAAAUAAUAAAUAACAUUAACUAAUGUGGAACAAAAGGGUCGAGGUUAAGACUUUUCACUUUCACUUUUGCAGAGAAGUUUAAAGAUUUUCCGAAGAAACCUCUAAGCUGGUUCAGGAAUCAUUUUUUGCUCAGUUAAAAGUUGAAUCCUUUUGUUCUUUUCUUGUUUUUGCACUGAAUAUGGGGCCUGGUCUUCAUGCAAUUUCUAUCUCUUCAUCUUUUAGGACAAGUCAAUAUUUCUAUAGUAGUAUAUGUUUGAGAGUAAGAGUAGGGAGAUGAUUGUCUACACAACCGAAGGUACUUUGCCAUUGCAAUUUCUCAGGGAUAAAUUUUUCCCCAUCAGAUUUUUAUCUCUGACCUUUUCUUUCUUCUUUCUUCUUUUUCUGGUAUCCACUACAGGAAGAAGCAAUCUUUAUUUGUGGUCCAAGAAUAAACAAAUGGUGAAGAUAGCCUUUAAGUGAGAUAUCUUAAACUAGGUGACUUGGUUGAGCAGAUAUUGUGCACAUCCGUAUUUGGAACUCCAUAGCAUGUCAGCUUCCUUAUUUGGCUAUCUAAAUAGACUACUUUGUAGUGUGAAAGUGUCAUCUUCUUUUGAUGGGCUUUUGAAUAAUGAAUCAUUAGUUUCUUUUCAUUGAUUAAUUUUAUAGAUUGAUUACACUUUUGUUGUUAGACUAAGUUUUACUUGGUAAUAAAUUUGUAUAUUUCAUCUUUAACCUUUUGGGUUCAUUUCUUGAACUUCAAUAUUUAUAGGUAUAAACUUGUUGAAAAAAGGAUGAGAGGCAUUGGCAGUAUUCAACAUUUUGCUGACUUGCUAAAUUUGUUAAGAGAAUUUUCUUCACUUUCCUUCGAAUAUGCUUCUGCUGUUCUAUCAUCUAUGUGCAGGUUAUUAGUCAAGAUAUGGAGAUUAAAGGACCUCAUUUAAAACAUCAGACACUUCUUUAGGCUUUGUUGUUCUAGGCCCAAUCAGAUAUCUUUAUACUUACUGUUAUUUGAUUGUGUGGCUUGAGUUCAAAUUAAGUAAAUUAUUUGAGAGAAUGCUUAAUGAUUUGUUUCGCUUGUUUUGCUUAGCAAUGAGUCAAAGCCCGAAGAGUGGAAGAACUCUUACCGUUUCCCUUGCAUUAUCAUGAUUGAAGUGCCAUGCAUCCCUAGAAUCAAGAUUGGAAUUAUUUCUAUGUCUGUCCUGCAUGGAUCUACAGUGAUUAUUUAUUAGCCUCAUUUUUGGAUACAUAUUAUUGUAGACAUUAUGUACCUUUUACAUUUUAAAUAAGAGGUUUUGUUUGUAAAGAUAGUGACCAACUUUUGUUUCAA